rnacentral:rRNA from 1 species
CCUACGGGAGGCAGCAGUGAGGAAUUUUGCGCAAUGGGGGCAACCCUGACGCAGCGACGCCGCGUGAGUGAUGAAGGCCUUCGGGUCGUAAAGCUCUGUCAGAGGGGAAGAAAUGCAGGUGGUGAACAACCAUUCUGUUUGACGGUACCCUCAAAGGAAGCACCGGCUAACUCCGUGCCAGCAGCCGCGGUAAUACGGAGGGUGCGAGCGUUGUUCGGAAUUAUUGGGCGUAAAGCGCGUGUAGGCGGUUUGUUAAGUCGGAGGUAAAAGCCCCGGGCUCAACCGGGGAAGUGCAUUGGAUACUGGCAGACUUGAGUACGGGAGAGGAGAGUGGAAUUCCCAGUGUAGGAGUGAAAUCCGUAGAUAUUGGGAGGAACACCGGUUGCGAAGGCGGUCACCGGGCCCGUUACUGACGCUCAGGGACGAAAGCGUGGGGAGCAAACAGGAUUAGAUACCCGUGUAGU